rnacentral:rRNA from 1 species
GAUGAACGCUGGCGGCGUGCCUAAUACAUGCAAGUCGAGCGAACAGACGAGGAGCUUGCUCCUCUGACGUUAGCGGCGGACGGGUGAGUAACACGUGGAUAACCUACCUAUAAGACUGGGAUAACUUCGGGAAACCGGAGCUAAUACCGGAUAAUAUAUUGAACCGCAUGGUUCAAUAGUGAAAGACGGUUUUGCUGUCACUUAUAGAUGGAUCCGCGCCGCAUUAGCUAGUUGGUAAGGUAACGGCUUACCAAGGCAACGAUGCGUAGCCGACCUGAGAGGGUGAUCGGCCACACUGGGACUGAGACACGGUCCAGACUCCUACGGGAGGCAGCAGUAGGGAAUCUUCCGCAAUGGGCGAAAGCCUGACGGAGCAACGCCGCGUGAGUGAUGAAGGUCUUCGGAUCGUAAAACUCUGUUAUUAGGGAAGAACAAAUGUGUAAGUAACUAUGCACGUCUUGACGGUACCUAAUCAGAAAGACACGGCUAACUACGUG